rnacentral:rRNA from 1 species
AUGGCGACCACUACCUCCCUCUUCUCCCUCGCCCCGCUCCGCCUCACCCGCCGCCGCCUCCUCUCCCCCACCCCCGGCACGGCCUCCCGCUUCCGGACGCUCGCCUCGAAGAAGGCGGCCGCCUCCACCGUCUCCGGGCCCGGCGGGGGCGCGGGGAGCGGGCUGCUCUCGGUGCUCGACCGGGCGCUCACCGACGAGGAGGAGUACCGCCGCGCGCGCGCCCAGGUGCAGCGCAAGGGCGUGGAGGCGGAGGGGUACGCCGUCGAGGGGAUCUCGGUGGGCGGGCACGAGACCUGCGUCACCGUGCCGUCCCUCAACGUCGCCUUCGACAUCGGCCGGGGCCCGCUCUUCGCCGUGCGACAGGACCACCUCUUCAUCACCCACGCCCACCUCGACCACAUCGGUGGUCUUCCAAUGUAUAUAGCAACCCGUGGCCUCUACAAUUUGAAGCCUCCAACCGUAUUUGUACCUCCGUGCAUAAGGGAUGAUGUUGAGGAGAUGCUUCAGAUCCAUCGUAGAAUGAGUCGAAUUGACCUGGAAGUUGAAUUAGUUGCUCUUGACUUGGGAGAAACAUAUGAAAUACGCAAUGACCUUGUUGCCAGACCACUUCAGACUCACCAUACUGUACCCAGCCAGGGCUACGUCAUAUACUCUGUUAGAAGAAAGCUGAAAAAACAGUAUGCUCACUUGAAGGGAAGUCAAAUAGUAAAAUUAAAGCAAUCAGGCUCUGAGAUUACAGAUACCAUACUGUACCCAGAAGUUGCUUUUACCGGAGAUACAACAUCUGAUUUUAUUCUUGACCCACGGAAUGCGGAUGCACUGAGAGCAAAGGUUCUUAUAACUGAGGCAACCUUCCUAGAUGACCAAGUUGAUGUUGAUCAUGCCCGAGAGCAUGGCCACAUGCAUCUGUCUGAGAUAAUGGAGCAUUCCCAGUGGUUUAGAAAUGAGGCAAUUAUACUCACCCAUUUCUCGAAUCGAUAUAGUCUUGAGGAUAUUCGGAAAGCUGUUUCCAGGCUACAGCCAAAGUUAAUUUCGAAGGUUGUUGCUCUGACAGAAGGCUUCAAAUCUGAAUAUAGCUAA